GACGAACGCUGGCGGCGUGCUUAACACAUGCAAGUCGAACGGAAAGGCCCUGCUUGCCGGGUACUCGAGUGGCGAACGGGUGAGUAACACGUGGGUGAUCUGCCCUGCACUUCGGGAUAAGCCUGGGAAACUGGGUCUAAUACCGGAUAGGAGCCAUUUUUAGUGUGAUGGUUGGAAAGUUUUUUCGGUGUAGGAUGAGCUCGCGGCCUAUCAGCUUGUUGGUGGGGUAAUGGCCUACCAAGGCGGCGACGGGUAGCCGGCCUGAGAGGGUGGACGGCCACAUUGGGACUGAGAUACGGCCCAGACGCCUACGGGAGGCAGCAGGGGGGAAUAUUGCACAAUGGGCGCAAGCCUGAUGCAGCGACGCCGCGUGGGGGAGGACGGCCUUCGGGUUGGAAACUCCUUUCGCUAGGGACGAAGCUUUUUGUGACGGUACCUAGAUAAGAAGCACCGGCUAACUACGUG
rnacentral:rRNA from 1 species